rnacentral:rRNA from 1 species
UACAGAGGGUGCGAGCGUUAAUCGGAAUUACUGGGCGUAAAGCGUGCGUAGACGGCUAUCUAAGUCGGGUGUGAAAGCCCCGGGCUCAACCUGGGAAUUGCAUUCGAGACUGAAUAGCUAGGGUACGGUAGAGGGAAGUGGAAUUUCCGGUGUAGCGGUGAAAUGCGUAGAUAUCGGAAGGAACAUCAGUGGCGAAAGCGGCUUCCUGGACCAGCACCGACGUUCAGGCACGAAAGCGUGGGGAGCAAACAGG